GAGACACCCUUAUGGGGCAAGACUUGCUUCAGUGGGGCUUUGGUGCUCACUGAGUCUGCCCCCUUAUGGAUCUGA
rnacentral:pre_miRNA from 1 species